rnacentral:rRNA from 1 species
UACAGGGGGUGCAACCGUUGCUCGGAAUCAUUGGGCGUAAAGCGCACGUAGGCGGUCUGUUAUGUCGGAUGUGAAAGCCCUUGGCUUAACUGAGGAAGUGCAUCCGAAACUGGCAGGCUAGAGUACUAAAGAGGGUCGCGGAAUUCCCGGUGUAGAGGUGAAAUUCGUAGAUAUCGGGAGGAACACCGGCGGCGAAGGCGGCGACCUGGGUAGAUACUGACGCUGAGGUGCGAAAGCGUGGGGAGCAAACAGG